AGCACUUACAGGUUAAAAAAAAGAUUUAAUCUGUUUGAUUCAUGAUGCUUUUCACCCAGAUUUUAAUGUUCAGUGGACAGAUUUUAAAAAUGAAAUGGUUUUGGAGCCAAUAAGAUAAUUAUUAAAGGGGUCAUAUUGUGCAAAAUAAACUUUAACAUCUCCAAAAGUCCCAUAAUUCUAUGAGUGGUUUCACAGAUGUUCUCC